rnacentral:rRNA from 1 species
AUGGCGCCCGCCUGCCUCCUAUUGCCACUCCUCCUGCUCCCCUUCGCCCCAGGUCCAGCACAGGCCGCGACGCCGGCAAGGUCUCCGUCGGCGUCAGCAUCAUCCUCCUCCACGUCCGUCGUGUUCCAGCUCCAGGGCGACGUAUAUCCCACCGGGCAUUACUAUGCCACCAUGAACAUUGGGGAUCCGGCGAGGCCCUACUUCUUGGACAUUGACACCGGCAGUGACCUCACUUGGCUGCAGUGCGACGCUCCCUGCCAAAGCUGCAACAAGGUGCCGCACCCAUUGUACAAGCCAACAAAGAGCAAGAUUGUGCCCUGUGCAGACUCACUCUGUACUACACUGCUCAGCUCACAGAUUCCUAACAACAAGCAGUGCCCCUCACCACACCAAUGCGACUACAAAAUCAAGUACACGGACAGCUCGUCUUCUCGCGGUGUGCUCGUUACCGACAGCUUCGGCCUAACCCUACGGAAUUCAUCCCGUGUUAGUCGCAGCCUCACCUUUGGCUGUGGCUAUGACCAGCAGGUGGGAAAGAAUGGGGCAGUGCAGGCAGCGACAGAUGGCUUGCUUGGGCUUGGGAGGGGAUCAGUUAGCUUGGUCUCGCAGCUCAAGCAGCAAGGCAUCACCAAGAAUGUACUUGCCCAUUGCCUCAGUACGAACGGAGGAGGGUUCCUCUACUUUGGGGAUGAUAUCGUGUCUACCUCACGCGCAAUGUGGGUGCCGAUGGCUCGUAGCACAUCUGGGAAUUACUACUCACCUGGCUCAGGAACACUUUACUUCGAUAAACACCCACUAGGAGUGAAGCCAACGGAGGUGGUAUUUGAUAGCGGUAGCACCUAUACGUACUUUGCUGCCCAGCCAUACCAAGCGACUGUUUCUGCGAUCCAAGCUGGUCUCAGCAAGUCACUUACGAAGGUGUCUGACCCCAGUCUACCUCUUUGCUGGAAAGGGCAGAAAGUGUUUAAAUCUGUGUCUGACAUCAAGAAGGAGUUCAAAUCACUCUUCCUGAUGUUUUCGAAGAAUACAGCCAUGGAGAUCGCUCCCGAAAACUACCUCAUUGUUACCAAAAAUGGAAAUGUGUGCUUGGGCAUUCUUGACGGGUCGGUGGCCAAACUUAAUUUCAACAUAAUUGGAGGUACAAAGUCUAGACUCACACAACCCGGUCUAUGA